rnacentral:misc_RNA from 1 species
GAUGAAGAACGUAGCGAAAUGCGAUAAGUAAUGUGAAUUGCAGAAUUCAGUGAAUCAUCGAAUCUUUGAACGCACAUUGCGCCCGCCAGUAUUCUGGCGAGCAUGCCUGUUCGAGCGUCAUUUCAACCAUCAAGCCCCAGGCUUGUGUUGGAGCCCUGCGGCUGCCGCAGCCUCCCAAAACCAGUGGCGGGCUCGCUAUCACACCGAGUGCAGUAGUUUACUCUUCGCUCAGGGCGUGUGGCGGGUGCUAGCCGUGAAACCCCCAACUUCUCAAGGUUGACCUCGGAUCAGGUAGGAAUACCCGCUGAACUUAAGCAUAUCAAUAAGCGGAGGA